rnacentral:rRNA from 1 species
GCAUAUCAAUAAGCGGAGGAAAAGAAACCAACAGGGAUUGCCUCAGUAACGGCGAGUGAAGCGGCAAAAGCUCAAAUUUGAAACCCUCGGGAUUGUAAUUUGAAGAUUUGGCAUUGGAGAAAGCUAACCCAAGUUGCUUGGAAUAGUACGUCAUAGAGGGUGACAACCCCGUCUGGCUAACCGUUCUCCAUGUAUUGCCUUAUCAAAGAGUCGAGUUGUUUGGGAAUGCAGCUCAAAGUGGGUGGUAAACUCCAUCUAAAGCUAAAUACUGGUGAGAGACCGAUAGCGAACAAGUACUGUGAAGGAAAGGUGAAAAGAACUUUGAAAAGAGAGUGAAAUAGUAUGUGAAAUUGUUGAUAGGGAAGGAAAUGAGUGGAGAGUGGCCGAGGUUUCAGCCGCCCCUCGUGGGCGGUGUACUGCCGACGCCGAGUCAUCGAUAGCGAGACGAGGGUUACAAAUGGGAGCGCCUUCGGGCGUUCUCCCCUAACCCUCCACACUGCCACCGACGACAUAAUCCACCCAUUUCACCCGUCUUGAAACACGGAC